GUGGGGAAUUUUGGACAAUGGGCGCAAGCCUGAUCCAGCAAUGCCGCGUGCAGGAAGAAGGCCUUCGGGUUGUAAACUGCUUUUGUACGGAACGAAACGGUCCGGGUUAAUACCCUGGGCUAAUGACGGUACCGUAAGAAUAAGCACCGGCUAACUACGUGCCAGCAGCCGCGGUAAUACGUAGGGUGCAAGCGCUUAUCGGAAUUACUGGGCGUAAAGCGUGCGCAGGCGGUUUUGUAAGACAGGCGUGAAAUCCCCGGGGUCAAACUGGGAAUUGCGCUUGUGACUGCAAGGCUGGAGUGCGGCAGAGGGGGAUGGAAUUCCGCGUGUAGCAGUGAAAUGCGUAGAUAUGCGGAGGAACACCGAUGGCGAAGGCAAUCCCCUGGGCCUGCACUGACGCUCAUGCACGAAAGCGUGGGGAGCAAACAGGAUUAGAAACCCUUGUAGUCC
rnacentral:rRNA from 1 species